rnacentral:rRNA from 1 species
UACGUAGGGUGCGAGCGUUGUCCGGAAUUAUUGGGCGUAAAGAGCUUGUAGGUGGUUUGUCGCGUCUGCUGUGAAAAUCCGAGGCUCAACCUCGGACUUGCAGUGGGUACGGGCAGACUAGAGUGCGGUAGGGGGGAUUGGAAUUCCUGGUGUAGCGGUGGAAGUGCGCAGAUAUCAGGAGGAACACCAAUGGCGAAGGCAGAUCUCUGGGCCGUAACUGACGCUGAGGAGCGAAAGCGUGGGGAGCGAACAGGG